GUGAGGAAUAUUGCUCAAUGGGCGAAAGCCUGAAGCAGCGACGCCGCGUGAGGGAUGAAAUCCGUUAGGAUGUAAACCUCUUUUGCAGGGGAUGAAUGUCCCGCUUUGCGGGAUUGACCGUACUCUGCGAAUAAGGAUCGGCCAACUACGUGCCAGCAGCCGCGGUAAUACGUAGGAUCCGAGCGUUGUCCGGAAUUACUGGGUGUAAAGGGUCCGCAGGCGGGUAAACAAGUCGGUGGUGAAAUCCUGUGGCUUAACCACAGAACCGCCUCCGAUACUGUUUAUCUUGAGUACGAGAGAGGAUGAUGGAAUUCAUGGUGUAGCGGUGAAAUGCGUAGAUAUCAUGAAGAACACCGGUUGCGAAGGCGAUCAUCUGGCUCGUUACUGACGCUCAGGGACGAAAGCGUGGGGAGCAAACAGGAUUAGAAACCCCGGUAGUCC
rnacentral:rRNA from 1 species